GAUCAAGUGUCUUAAGGGCAUCUGGUGAAUGCCUUGGCAUGCACAGGCGAUGAAGGACGUGAUACGCUGCGAUAAGCCAUGGGGAGCUGCGAAUAAGCUUUGAUCCGUGGAUUUCCGAAUGGGGAAACCCACCUCCGAACCUUGGUAAGAUCGGAAUGGCACUGGAGCGCAAGCCCCGGUGCGAUUGCGGUUACCAAGGUUCAACAGCGAGGUAUCUAACUCUGAAUACAUAGGGGUUAGAAGCGAACUCGGGGAACUGAAACAUCUAAGUACCCGAAGGAAAGGACAUCAACCGAGACUCCGUUAGUAGUGGCGAGCGAACGCGGACCAGGCCAGUGACCAUGACAAGAAGAAGCCGAACAGGUUGGAAAGCCUGACAAGAGUGGGUGAUAGUCCCGUAGGCGUAAUGUCUGUCAUGGUCCUCGAGUAGGGCGGGACACGUGAAAUCCUGUCUGAAAUUGGGGGGACCACCCUCCAAGCCUAAGUACUCGUGCAUGACCGAUAGCGAACCAGUACCGUGAGGGAAAGGUGAAAAGCACCCCGACAAGGGGAGUGAAAGAGAACCUGAAACCGGAUGCCUACAAACAGUGGGAGCCCGAAAGGGUGACCGCGUACCUUUUGUAUAAUGGGUCAGCGACUUAGUCUGGCGAGCAAGCUUAAGCCGAUAGGUGGAGGCGUAGCGAAAGCGAGUCUGAACAGGGCGUUCAGUUCGUCGGAUUAGACCCGAAACCGAGUGAUCUAGCCAUGAGCAGGUUGAAGGUGCAGUAACAUGCACUGGAGGACCGAACCCGCAUCUGUUGCAAUAGAUUGGGAUGACUUGUGGCUAGGGGUGAAAGGCCAAUCAAACUCGGAAAUAGCUGGUUCUCCGCGAAAUCUAUUUAGGUAGAGCGUCGGAUGUAUUCUCCAGGGGGUAGAGCACUGAAUGGGCUAGGGGGACUCACCGUCUUACCAAACCCAAUCAAACUCCGAAUACCUGGAAGAACUGUCCGGCAGACACACGGCGGGUGCUAACGUCCGUCGUGAAGAGGGAAACAACCCUGACCACCAGCUAAGGUCCCCAAGUUAUGGCUAAGUGGGAAAGGAUGUGAGGAUCCCAAAACAACCAGGAUGUUGGCUUAGAAGCAGCCAUCAUUUAAAGAAAGCGUAACAGCUCACUGGUCUAGAUUUAAGGGUUCUUGCGCCGAAAAUGUACCGGGGCUCAAGCCAUACACCGAAGCUGUGGGUUUGCACUUUGUGCAAGCGGUAGCGGAGCGUUCCCUAGGCUGUUGAAGCGGGACCCGUGAGGGCCCGUGGAGGUAUGGGAAGUGCGAAUGCUGACAUGAGUAACGAUAAAGGGUGUGAGAGACACCCUCGCCGAAAGUCCAAGGGUUCCUGCUUAAAGUUAAUCUGAGCAGGGUUAGCCGGCCCCUAAGGCGAGGCCGAAAGGCGUAGUCGAUGGGAACCACGUUAAUAUUCGUGGGCCUGGUGGUGAGUGACGGAUCCCGUGUGUUGUUCGACCUUAUCGGAUUGGUCGAGCCUCGAAGGGGUCCCAGGAAAUAGCCCCACCGUAUAGACCGUACCCUAAACCGACACAGGUGGACUGGUAGAGUAUACCAAGGCGCUUGAGAGAACUGCGUUGAAGGAACUCGGCAAAUUGCACGCGUAACUUCGGAAGAAGCGUGACCUCCAGUAACGCAAGUUAUUGGUGGUGGCACAGACCAGGGGGUAGCGACUGUUUAUCAAAAACACAGGGCUCUGCGAAGUCGCAAGACGACGUAUAGGGUCUGACGCCUGCCCGGUGCUGGAAGGUUAAGAGG
rnacentral:rRNA from 1 species